AGAUUGAACGCUGGCGGCGUGCCUAACACAUGCAAGUCGAGCGGUAACAGGUGUAGCAAUACAUGCUGACGAGCGGCGAACGGGUGAGUAAUGCUUUGGAAUCUUCCCAGUAGUGGGGAAUAACCAGUCGAAAGAUUGGCUAAUACCGCAUACGUCCGGAAGGGGAAAGCGGGGGAUCGUAAGACCUCGCGCUAUUGGAUGAGCCAAAGUCGGAUUAGCUAGUUGGUGGGGUAAUGGCCUACCAAGGCGACAAUCCGUAGCUGGUCUGAGAGGACGACCAGCCACACCGGAACUGAGACACGGUCCGGACUCCCACGGGAGGCAGCAGUGGGGAAUAUUGGACAAUGGGGGAAACCCUGAUCCAGCGACGCCGCGUGUGUGAAGAAGGCCUGCGGGUUGUAAAGCACUUUUAGUGGGGACAAAAGCUACGGACUAAUAUUCUGUGGUCUUGAUUUAACCCAAAGAAAAGCACCGGCUAACUCUGUGCCAGCAGCCGC
rnacentral:rRNA from 1 species